rnacentral:tRNA from 1 species
GGGGCCGUAGUCUAGCUUGGACUAGGAUGCCAGCCUGGGGAGGAAUCCCUAACCACCAGAUCGCUGGUGGUCCCGGGUUCAAAUCCCGGCGGCCCCA